GACGAACGCUGGCGGCGUGCUUAACACAUGCAAGUCGAACGGAAAGGCCCUGCUUUUGUGGGGUGCUCGAGUGGCGAACGGGUGAGUAACACGUGAGUAACCUGCCCUUGACUUUGGGAUAACUUCAGGAAACUGGGGCUAAUACCGGAUAGGAGCUCCUGCUGCAUGGUGGUGGUUGGAAAGUUUCGGCGGUUGGGGAUGGACUCGCGGCUUAUCAGCUUGUUGGUGGGGUAGUGGCUUACCAAGGCUUUGACGGGUAGCCGGCCUGAGAGGGUGACCGGCCACAUUGGGAAUGAGAAACGGCCGCAACUGCUACGGGAGGCAGAAGUGGGGAAUAUUGCACAAUGAGCGGAAGCCUGAUGAAGCAACGCCGCGUGCGGGAUGACGGCCUUCGAGUUGUAAACCGCUUUAGCCUGUGACGAAGCGUGAGUGACGGUAAUGGGUAAAGAAGCACCGGCUAACUACGUG
rnacentral:rRNA from 1 species